rnacentral:rRNA from 1 species
AUUGAACGCUGGCGGAAUGCUUUACACAUGCAAGUCGAACGGCAGCACGGGGGCAACCCUGGUGGCGAGUGGCGAACGGGUGAGUAAUACAUCGGAACGUGCCCAGUUGUGGGGGAUAACGUAGCGAAAGCUACGCUAAUACCGCAUACGAACUGAGGUUGAAAGCGGGGGAUCGCAAGACCUCGCGCAAAUUGGAGCGGCCGAUGGCAGAUUAGGUAGUUGGUGGGGUAAGAGCCCACCAAGGCGACGAUCAGUAGCUGGUCUGAGAGGACGACCAGCCACACUGGGACUGAGACACGGCCCAGACUCCUACGGGUGGCAG